GCUGGACUUGUGAUUGUGCUAAGAAAGAGUGCUUGCUAUACUUCAAGAGCUUCAGAAAAUCAGAUUCUUUGAUACGCUUUGGCUGUCGGAAAUAGUUCAACUUCAGGUCAUCCAGCUGCACACAGAACAGAUCUGGUCCAUCAGAGACAGCGAUGGUAUCAGUAUGAUAAGGAAUAUUAGUUCUGAAUAUAAGUGAUUUUUCC
rnacentral:lncRNA from 1 species